CAUUUAUCCAUCUAUCUAUCCAUCCAUCCAUUCAUCCAUCCAUCCAUCCAUCCAUCCAUCCAUCCAUCCAUCCAUCCAAUCAGCCAUGGUCUAUUCUCCCAUUUAUUCUACAAAUAUGAUCUAUCAUCUGUUCUGUGGCAGGCACCAGAUGCCAGAUGCCAGGAAUAGAGCAAUGACAGCCAUGGUCACUGCCUUCUCAGUGUGCUGAGUGGACAUUGCAGGCCCCCUUGGAUAAAGGCAGGUCCGUGGGCCCCAUAGGUCCAAGGUGGAGCCGAUUUCCUCUGCAGGGAGUCUUCAGCGAGUGAGAAGUGAGGAGGAUGAUAGAAGACAGACUGGCCUUUCAUCUGGGCUUGACAUCUGCCCUGCAAAUUGUCACAGAAUGAUGAUGUGGUGGAACCAGUGGCCUGAUGGGCAUCGUCCUCAGUGGCCGGUCAUGGAGCACCCAGGGAAUUGCCAGAGGGUGUCACCGCAUCCCCCAGGAGUUGGAGCACCCCUCCUCUGGCCCAUCUUCCUUCUCCAUUCUCCAGAAUGAGGCCUCUCUCCUCCAACAGUCACUAUUAUGUCGGCAAGGAGGCCUGUGCUCAUUAACCUGUAUUGCCAGAGCAGAGACUGCGAAACCACUGGUGAAUAAACCUGCCCCAGCUGCC
rnacentral:lncRNA from 1 species